GGUCCAACCCACUACGCCACCGCACCCUCUUUUGCAGUUUCAGUUCAGGUUAAAUACAUUAUUCUAGGGCACUUAACCAGGGUUCUUCCCAGGAUUUGAACCAUUAAACUUCCAAUUAUCAGCCUAUGAGUGUAAUUACCACACUGCCUUACUCUAAAAUGCCACAAGGCUGAUAUGCAGCUGUACUUAUUUGAUUUCCGCCAAAGGAAUCCCAGGUAAAGCGUGUGGACAUCGGCAAGUGUGCGAUCCUCCCCAGCCUCGUACUACAACCUGCCAGCUUUCACUCCUUGACCAGGGUUAAGGAGGAACCCUGAACAAACAGCACACUUCAGACAGCUGCAGACAAAGCGAGCGCGGGAGGGGCGCGAAGAAGCAACAGGAAAGAGGGAGUAUGGGAGAGGAAGACGGAAAAGAGAGAGCGAGAUUGAAAGGAGGGGGAGGGGAGGACGGGGGGGGGGCUCUCCUGCAUAAGGACGGGAAGGGAAGGAAAGAGGGAAAAAGUUGCAGAGGAAAUUAUUUUGAAUCACUGGGGAUUUCUCAGAGUUCAGUUCACUUUGCUGUGUGAAAGGAAAAGUUACGAAAGGCAGCAGGUUGCUGUGUGAGUCGUACCUGCGGCAGGGCAGGGCGGAGCAGGACCGGUGAUAGAGCUGAAGGGAUGGAGAGGACAGCCAGAGAAGGGACAAAGUGGUAGAAGUGACUGAUUGACAGCAGUGUCUCUAAGUCUCAGGGGCCCGGAACUCAGUGUGGAAUCGCUGUACAAAGAAUGAAAGCUGAAGCUGUGCUGUGAGCCAUCUGUGCUCAAAGAAAGGGUCAUGAACCAACGGUAACAGUUGCUGGCAAAGGUGACUUGCCGGUAAAUGUUCUGUGAUAGCACUAGCUAGUGGAUUUAAACAAUACACGAACAAGACAUUCUGCACAGGCAGACAUUGUCCAGCCACAGGUUUCACACCCUCUUGUGUCCAUCAUGCCCUCCCUGACCUCUGUCUUGCUCAGACCUGGAAGAUCUCAAAGGGCCACUUGAAGGAGCAGGGGUGGAGGAGGGUGUUGGGUUUAGGGCAGAGCCACCACGGCGAAGACACUUCUUCUCUUGACCUCUUUGCACAACUUCAAAGAGCAAACAGAGGGAGACAGAGCAGCCUUGUGCAAGCCAGCAGGGCGAGUGGCACCAGGAAAUGCUCUUCAUCUAUUCCUCAGCGGGACCUGCAGCCCACCCUCUCCUCCCAACCCAGAGGCCCUACCCAUGACAGCAUUAACGGGAGCAGGGGAUCAAGCGUCAGUCGGAGUCCCAGCUUUCAGAGGACACCUCGACCCGUCUCCAGACUCUCUGUCACUAGCCUCAGCCAUUCAUGUUGACAUGUAUAGAGGAAUUUAAGUGACUUCC
rnacentral:lncRNA from 1 species